rnacentral:rRNA from 1 species
GAUGAACGCUGGCGGCGUGCCUAAUACAUGCAAGUCGAGCGAACGGACGAGAAGCUUGCUUCUCUGAUGUUAGCGGCGGACGGGUGAGUAACACGUGGAUAACCUACCUAUAAGACUCGGAUAACUUCGGGAAACCGGAGCUAAUACCGGAUAAUAUUUUGAACCUCAUGGUUCAAAAGUGAAAGACGGUCUUGCUGUCACUUAUAGAUUGAUCCGCGCUGCAUUAGCUAGUUGGUAAGGUAACGGCUUACCAAGGCAACGAUGCAUAGCCGACCUGAGAGGGUGAUCGGCCACACUGGUACUGAGACACGGCCCAGACUCCUACGGGAGGCAGCAGUAGGGAAUCCUCCGCAAUGGGCGAAAGCCUGACGGAGCAACGCCGCGUGAGUGAUGAAGGUCUUCGGAUCGUAAAACUCUGUUAUUAGGGAAGAACAUAUGUGUAAGUAACUGUGCACAUCUUGACGGUACCUAAUCAGAAAGCCACGGCUAACUACGUG